CUGCAGCUAACUAAGCUCAGGGUGCUCCUUUCCUCAUGGGGGUCUGGUGUGCAAUGGCUGCAAACAGCAGCCUCCUUGGUAGUAUAUGCAGCCUGUUGUUUAUAUAGGUUGCUCGAAGGGACUUUGGAGACAUUC